AGAAAAUCGUGUGACACACAGUUACUGCCACUACUAGAAAAUUGGCUUUUUGCGACUAUUUUUUUGCGACUGCUUGUUUGGCCGUCGCAAAAGAAAAAAAAAAGCUCCAAUUUAUAUUUAACCUUUAUUUUUCCUAUUUUCUUUAUUUAUUUGCUUUUGCCCUAGCUUGGCUCGCUCAACCUCUCUCUCUCGCUCUCGCUCACCGUUGGUUUGAGAAAAUCAUCGUAAAACUUUGUGGCUAUUGCUAGUGGUGAUGCCUCUGAGGCCUUUAUACAAGCAUUACAAGAGAAGAAAAUACACAAUUGGAAUAGGUUGUCUGCCAUGGCUGUUGAACAGAUUGUAAUGACAGAGUGAUCCAUUCUACAGGUAUCAUAUGAGUGGGGCUGAAACUCAUGGUGGAAGCCUUCCAUGAACCAAAGAAUAAAAAAAAGAGUUCAAGGUUCCACUACUUCCACCGAGUAAAUGGAAUUAGGACUCCCUACAUUUGUCAAUUGCCUUUUAAUCACCUUACUCAGCUUCCCGGGCUUGAACAUUACUAAAAUCGAAGGAUAAUUGAGGCUAAAACCCUUGUUCUCCAGCAAAGUCUCAUGGCAACUCACAUUGCUGUGAGUAAUUGUGAAAAUUUCUGAUUUUGUGUAUCCCAGGGUGCACAGAUGAGUGAUAUACUUAUCUGGCCUGAUAUCAUAUACCAGUCUUGGAUUGAUGGCUCUCUCGGGGUUUACAUGUCCAACUCCAGUUGCAUAUUUGGGAUCAUUUGACGAGUAUUGAUUGUUUUAAAAUUCAGUAGCUACAUUAUGUAUACAUAUUUACUAAUAAUGCUCAAUUGUCACCAGCUUGUAAAUGCAAUUAUGAGUAGAAGAGAUGUUUUUGUUAUUAUGGUUGCUGGUGGAAGGAAAAGUCUCUGCUACCAGCUUCCAGCUAUUCUUCUUGAUGGAGUUGCUCUUGUUGUCAGUCCUUUACUUUCUCUUUUUCAGGAUUAGGUGAUGGGGUUGGCUGCUUUGGGCAUCCCUGCAUUCAAGUUGACCUUAACAACUGCUAAAGAAUAUGAAAAGUUCAUAAACAAAGCCCUUGAAAAGGGUGAAGGAGAACUUAAAAUUUUGUAUGUCACUCCGGGGAAAAUAUCAAAGAGCAAGAGGUUUAUGUCACUUGAGAAGUGCCAUCAUGCUGGUCAUCUGUCUCUAAUUUCAAUUGAUGUAUGUGCUAACAUCUUUUUUGUGCUUUGGCCACAUGUGAUAGAUUGUUGUUGUCAAUCUUUUUUGAAACUGCUUAUGUUAUCAGACUGCACCGUGUUGCAAGGCUUACACCCUCCCAACCUGUCUUUACGUUUACUCAUCUAGAGUCUUAAUUACAAGAAGCAAUCAGGGAUAUAUGAAGCUUCAAUUUGAGAUGCCCAAUGACACUGGAUCAGCCUUGGUUCAUGGUGCAAGCUUGGAUUUGAGGAACAUAUAUCUCCAUUGCAACAAAUUGGAACUCGACCGAUACCUUGUACAGUGGUGAACACCAACAUUGUAGAUUUUGUUUUACUAGCUUUCUAUCUGGAUUGUAUUUUUUUCAUAAAAGAACUUUUCCCAAGUUUUUAGUUGUAAUAACUUUCAUAUAUGGCUCCAAUUUUAAGGCUCAAAUGGAAUGCCUGAUUAAAUUACAAUAUUA